AGCUAGGUUGGACUGUUGAAGAAUUAAAACAACAUAUAGGAGAAUUAUUUAAUAUCAAAUCAUCAUGUAUGAGAAUAGUAAUGGAGGAGGGUUACAGGAGGAGAUAUGAUACUUCAGUCCGUGAUAUUAGUAAUGUAGGAGGCACCCUAAGAGAUAUACUCAUUAUUCGUCAAUACAAACAAUGGCUGUAUGUAUCAUCAGAUCCUAAAGAUUAUCAAAAAGAAUAUGAAUAUAGUUUGAUGUACAAAUAUGUUGACUUUCACGUCAACUCAAUACUACUGAAGAUUACACUACCUUUGGCUCCUGGACCUGAAGCCACACCUACUACAACUAAUGUUACUAAAAGAGGAA